rnacentral:rRNA from 1 species
UACGUAGGAUGCAAGCAUUAUCCGGAUUCAUUGGGCGUAAAGUGUGCGUAGGCUUCCUAACAAGUCUUUAUUGAAAGCCCGAGGCUUACCCUCGGUUUUGGUCGAGAUACUGUUAGGAUAGAGGUUUAAUAGGGGUGCUAGAACAGCUAGUGUAGCAGUGAAAUGCGUUGAUAUUAGCUGGAAUACCAAAGGCGAAGGCAGGCACCUGGGUUUUACCUGACGCUGAGGCACGAAAGCCAGGGUAGCGAAA